CUGGAGGCGCGUCAAAACCUGUGUGUUUCUCCUCUCUGUAACUCAUAGUCGUGUGGUAUAGCUGUCUAGUGGGUCAGUCUAGCUUCACAUAUUCGGUCAAUGACUUUCACCUUGAUGAAGAAGAAGAGGUUUAAGUUUAAAGUAGACGCGGAGUUGGAGGAGCUGUCAUCUGUUCCUUUUGUGAAUGGAGUUUUGUUCUGCAAGGUCCGACUCACGGACGGGGGCUUUUCGGAGGAGUCAUCGAGAGAGCCGGUUCUGGCUAACUGUGUUAAAUGGAGAAAAAGAUUAUCUUUCUUAUGCAAGAUGAGUGCUAAUGCAGCGACAGGCAUACUGGACCCUUGUGUUUUCCGGGUAUCUGUAAGAAAGGAGCUAAAAGGUGGGAAAACAUUUGCAAAGCUAGGCUUUGCUGAUUUAAACCUGGCUGAGUUUGCCGGAUCAGGAAGCACAACACGGCACUGUCUACUGGAGGGAUACAACACAAAGAACACACGUCAGGAUAACUCUAUACUUAAGUUGAUUAUCAGUAUGCAGCUAAUGUCGGGUGAUCCCUGCUUUAAAACGCCUCCAUCCACUGCAGUGACCAUUGGCUUUCCAGUAGAUGCAGAGUGUCUUCAUGAAGACAGAAGAGGAGAAACACAGAAAACAACUCAAAUUUGUACAGAAAACCCAGGAAAAAGUGUCACCAAUCUAGGUUCUGCUUCUGUUCCGAAUGAACUGGGAAAUUGUGGCCACUCAAGAACCUCAAGCUAUGCCAGCCAGCAGUCCAAGCUCUCAGGCUACAGCACAGGUCGCUCCCACUCUUCUAGCCUGACAGAGCUUUCUCAUAGGAGGAAUUUAUCUGUAGGCAGUGCCUCCACAGGGAUUGGCAGCUUACCAGAGCCCAGUGAGGAAGGAGAGUGCCGCCCACCAGCCUGUACACCUGUACCCCAACACUUAAUUACACCAUCACACAGUGGCAGCUCAGCCAACAGAUACCCUGUAAAGCAGGACUCAGUUGAGUCUCAGCUAAAGAGAGUGGAUGCUACUAGAGUGGAUGCCGAUGAUAUCAUUGAGAAAAUCCUGCAAGGCCAAGACUUCAGCCACAGCAUACUGGACUCUAGUAAUGAAGGAUAGUAAAACCUGAGAUUACCUACCUUGUGGGUCCUAGCCAGCGUUUCCCAUGAGGGAAAUGGCUUAUUAAACAUACUAAACAAUUUGUUUUUUGUUUUUUUAUUAAAAAAUGCAAAAAGGUUUCUGUGAGGGUUAGGUUUAAGGGUAGGGUUAGGGGAUAGAAAUUAUCAUUAGAUCUGUAUAAAAUCCAAAAAAUGCAUGGAAGUAUAUGGAGAGUCCCCACAAUGAUAUAAAAACAAGUUUGUGUGUGUGUGUGUGUGUGUGUGUGUGUGUGUGUUGUAGAGGAGGGUCUGCGGCUGUUUGUUGGACCAGGUGGAAGCAUUGCAUUGGGCACUCAGCACACUAGGGUUGGUGCUGGGGCUUUUGAACAGGUGGUUAUUAAACGCUAGACUGAAUGUUUGUGGGGGAAGAUGAUGUAACAUCCUGUCAAACAUGAGGACAGCAGUUCUCUUCGAUCACAAGCAGCAAUGGACUACUUGCACACUGCUUCCGUGUUCUAAGUAGUGCAGCUCAGGUGUUUCCGGUUACAAUGUUCAGCGCGCCUACAGGCAGAGAUUUAUUAAGGGAAGGCAGAUUAUUUCUUUUUUUUUAGGGCUGUCAGUUGAUAAAAUCAAUAAAUCAUAUUUAUGGCGCUAACAUGACGUCUCAAUUUUGUAAUUCGCUGAAAUUUGGCUCUAAAUAUAUUUUUUCCUUUCCAAAUGUAGCUAAACUCAGCUCCUGAAUAAUAAAUCAAACAUAUAUAACCUGCAGCUGUCUGGCCAUCUCAUUAACAUCCGUUUCAUUCAUUAAUGAUAUUUCAUACCAGUUGAGAUUCAACGAUAAAUUCCACCAUAUGAUUGCAAAUGCUUUUCUUUGGAUAAAUGUCCCAGAUGUAUUUAUUUAUAAAUACAUUAGCUGUUAUCUUACUCUGACCAUGUUUUAAAAAUCACUCGAACAGAACAGAAUGAAGCAGUUGUAUUAUCAAAUUAAAUAAAUAACUGCAUUAAAAUAUAUUUAACCACACAACAUUAAUCUAUUUCAAACGUUAUAACUCAUUAUCUUUAGCAGCUCUUACUUAUGCAUUUGCAUUUCAAAAUUUAUCGAUAUACAGUAAUUAUCAGUGAAACAGUGACACAAAAUAAAGAUUAAAACAUUUAAUAAAAAUAUGUUGAUGCAUGCGUUCACCACGUCUUUCUCCUUCCUCACACAUUAAAUAUGGCAGUGACUGAACCACAUAGUUGUUUAAUUCAAUGAGCGCCAGUGGUGCCGACACCCUUCGUCUCCUUUAACCUUUUGUAAUUUGCGUUUCAAGCUGAUCUGUGGUUAAAUGUCUGCCAUAGACCUCCAUGUGAGGAGAAACGGUGAAAUGCGCUUGGUUGGAGUAUAUACCAGCCAUUGCUUUCUCAGAUUGGUUUGGGCUGAAUUAAAGCUCUGAAAACUGUUCUUCCACUGAAUUUUGAAACUGUACACGGUACUGUUCUGAAUAUUUCUUCUCUCUCUGAAAAGAUCCGUACUUUAAAAUCCUCUGUCAAACACUCAUUUUAAGUACCGUUUCAGGAACUAGGCAACAAGGGUGCAUGUAAACAUAUUUAACCGGAAACUAGCGGGCCGCACUGUUUCAACGUUGAAGUACGUCAAGAGGAUCAGUGCAAGUAGACGUAUUCGUGGGCUCUCGGGGGAGGAGUCCAAGAUGGCGUCCUGCUAGCUUAACUUUUGCUGAGAUCUGCUGGCAAAUGUACUUUAGCGGCAAAAUAUUCUUUCUUAAAGCUACUUAAGUACAAUUUUGUUUACAACUACCUCACAUCAUACCUUAAGACUCUAAAUACGAAGUCGUCCGCUGAUAAAAGGAAAGAUGUGUCGGGAGUUUUGCAUCUAUCUGAAAAGAUGGAUUUCCACACCUACGCAUCUUCUGAGGGAGCCCGGCCGGGGACCCAACACUGCCUCCAGAUAGCCCAGCUAAGCCUCCACCUAAAAAGGACAAGACAGAUGAUAACUCUUCUGUGAUCUCCAGGCUGUCUCAGCUUAUUAACACCCGCUCUGAUGCCAUAGAGAAAAUGGAGAGUGAUAAUGCUUUGGAAAUUGAAGGUCUGAAGAAAACAGUGGACUUUGUGUGUGCAGAAUUAAACGACUUUAAAGGCAAAGUUAAUCACUUUGAAUCGAGACUGAACACUGAAGAGAGGAAGAUGGGAUUCUGCGAACAACGUCUCGUGGAUUUGGAAAGAUAGUCCCGUCGCUGGAAUCUACGUUUACAAGGUGUAACUGAAAGGGAAGGUGAGGAUAUAAGAGCAGAAUCCAUCCGUAUCUGUGAAGCCACGUUCCCGGGCGGAGGACACAUUCUAGCAGACAAAAUCGACACAGUUCACUGCAUUGGGAGGAGGCUCCCAAAUAGUUCACGACCUCGACCCAUCAUUAUUCAGUUUUCUUCGCGGGUGAUGAAAGAUGGCGUAUGGAAAGCAGCGAGGACAUCAGAGUUUCUGCUUGCCAAUCAACUUCGUUUGACUGAGGAUCUUUUUGCGUCUGAUCGGGAAAGGAGUUAGUUGCUCUGCCCGACAGUCGAAAAGGCUCGAAAGGAGGGAAAAAGGGCUCACUUCGUGGGAGGCCAUGCAUUCAUUGAUGGAACUGAAAUCAACUCACCGUAACAUGGUUGAUUGGUAUGACUGGUGGUUGUAAGCUCAAUCUUACUUUUACUGUUCUUAUGCUGCAGAUUUAUCUGAUUUUGCUAGCCAGCUAUCGGUGCACUUUUAUUUACUGAGGGUUCUGCUAAUUUUGUCAUUUUGUUCUUUGUUAUUUUUGUUGUGUUCUUUUGAAUGUUUGUUUCCAUUGUUUCUCUCAAUGCCAGGGGGUUACAAAAUAAUGUUAAGCGUAAAGCAUUGUUUUUGUAUGCAAAAUCAUGUAAAACUGAUUUUUGUUUUUUCAGGAGUCUCACUCCAUUGGUAAUGACACUACAUUUUGGAAACAUCAAUGGGGAGAUGAUAUUUGGAUGGCUCAUAGGUCAGAGCAUUCUGCUGGUGUAAUGAUAAUGAAAAACUGAUUUACUGGGGCAGUUUUAUAUAAUUACAGUGAUCCUAAGGGGCACUUUCUUUUAUUAGUACUUAGACUUAAUAAUUUUUUUGUGAUGAUAAAUAUUUAUGGUUACAAUACUUCUCAGGAAAAUGACCGGCUGUUUGAAGAGAUAGGAGAAAAUAUUCUGUUAUGGCUUAAUAUGCACCCAGAUGCAUUCAAUUGUAUUGGUGGGGAUUUUAACACAGUUCCUGAUAAUAGUCUUGACAGACUAUCCCCUAAGCAGUCUGCUUCUCCUAAUUCUAAAUUGAAAAUGUUCAUGGACAAAUUUGAUUUAAUUGAUUUCUGGAGGGAGAAGUUUCCAAAUGCCAAGUCAUACAUAUGGUCAAGAUAUUCUUAGAUAGAUUACUGGCUUGUACCCCUCUCACUUAAAGGUCACAAUAUUUCAGUUAGUAUUCUUCAGUCCCCAUUAACUGACCAUCAUGCCAUUCUUCUUCAUACUCCUCUAUCCACAGACCGUUUAGGUACAGAUGCUAGAGCUUGUUACUGGAAGCUUAAUUCUUCUCUACUUAAGUAUGAAGAAUCAAAAAAGAGAAUUUCCUUUUUGAUUCAAUACUAUUGGGUUAAAGCUUCAACUGACAAAAAAAAUUGGUGUAAAUUGGGAGAUUCUUAAAUUUGAAGUAGGAAAAUGUGUUAGAAAUUUCAGAUGUAAUUUAGCAAAACAGAGAAGGUAUGAAGAGGAAUCUGUCAUAACCAAGAUUAUGACUCUCCAUAACAAAGCCCAGGAUUGCUUAUCGGAAGCUGACCUAACAGAAAUGACAGACCUGCAAGUUAAAUUAGAUUAUAUUUAUGAGUACAGAGCUGAACUCCUUUAUUUGUUCUAGGAGGAAAUUACUGGAGCAUGGAGAACAAAGCUCUGCUAAUUUUUUUAGAAUGGAAAAUCAUAAUGCUAGGAAUCUGACUAUUGACUCAUUGAAAAUUAAUGAUAGAUUGACAAAUAACCCCCAAGGAAAUUGGCUCAUUUUGUGCUAACAUUUAUUCUAAACUUUACAAAUCUAAUUAUUGUAAGGAUUCAGCCUCUCUUUUCUUUCAGUUUUUAAAGAAGGUUAAAACAAUUUCUAGGGACGAACAGCUUGCAUGCGAUAGUGUUAUAACUAUUGCUGAAGUGACUGAGGCUAUUGUAGGUCUUAAGAACAACAAGUCCUCUGGAACGGAUGGCCUGACAGCUGAGUUCUAUAAGAACUUUGUUAAAGAACUGACACCUUUCUUGCUUGAGAUGUUUUUGGAAAGUGUCCAAUCGGAAACUCUCCCUCCUAGUUUAACACAGGGGCUACAUACCUUGAUACCUAAACCUAGGAAAGAUAUCUUAUUGAUAGAUAAUUGGUGUCCCAUAUGUCUUCUCAACAAUGAUUAUAAGGUGUUAGCCUUGAUUUUAGCCAAAAGACUUAAGCUUGUCCUGGGUUCUGUUAUAGAUGAGACCCAAUCAGGUUUAUCCGAAAAAGACAUAUAGCUAACAAUACACGUCUUGUCUUAGAUUUAUUAGACUAUGCCGAACUGAUUAAUUAUGAAAGUUUUAUUUUGUUUCUAGAUUUUCACAAAGCCUUUGACUCUCUCGAACAUGAGUUUAUUCUAUAGUCCCUUGCUAAGCUUGGUUUUGGUGACUCCUGUUAAUUUAUUAGAUCUCUUUACAAAAAUGGAAACUGUUCUAUCAACAGUAAAUCAGGUUGUUAUGCCCUGUGUCUCCUUACUUGUUUCUUUUAACUGCCCAACUCCUCACAUCUUCUAUUUUGAGUAGUCAUUUGCAAGGUAUUGUUAUUGCUGACAAACAUAUUAUUAUAAGCCAGUUAGCAGAUGAUACGACUUUGUUUUUGAAAGAUGAUUCACAGUUCCCUAUUGCUAUCGACUAUAUCAAAACAUUUUCCAAAGCUUCUGGCCUAACUUUAAAUCUUGAUAAAUGUGAGUUGUUAGCUAUUAAAACCGGCCCUUCUCCCUCUAUGUAUGGUAUCCCAGUAAAGACACAGGUGACAUAUUUAGGCAUAGUUAUAUAUAAGGAUGAUAGUGCCAGAUGUAGAAUGAACUUUGACCCAGUGGUUGGAAAGGCAAAAAGGAAAUUUAAUUCCUGGUUACAGAGAGAUUUAACGUUAAGAGGAAGGACUGUCCUUGCUAAAGCUGAGGUUAUUUCGAGAAUGACUUACCCUGCUCUUUCUCUGCAGUUGAUAAAUCUGUAUGUACAGACAUUGACAGAAUGCUUUUUGAAUUUUUAUGGAAACAUAAGAGGCAUUAUGUUAAAAAAAAAUCUGUUGUGAUAAAUCAUCAUGACUGUGGUGGUCUAAAUUAUAUUGAUUUUGCCUCCUUGAACAAUACUUUUAAGAUAAACUGCCUGAAGCAAUUCUUGACCAACACCUUUCCCAAUUACAUAUUUUCUAAAGUAGGUGGUCUUCCUUUUUUAUUGAUGUGUAAUUACAGUAUUUCUAAAUUGCCCCUUAAAUUGUGAAAUUUUCAUAAGCAAACACUUCUGGCCUGGCACCUAAUUUAUAAGCAUAAUUUCAGCCCGCACUGUUAUUUUAUUUGGAAUAACCAGGACAUUCUUUAUAAAAAUAAGUCUUUGUUUCUCCCAGAUUGUUUCAAAAAUAACAUAAUUUUGGUUUCUCAAUUAAUAAAUAAUGAUGGCCAGUCGCUUUAAUACUCAGAAUUCUUGAAGAAGUAUACCAUACUUGUUACUCCACAAGAAUUUGCUGUUGUAAUGGAUGCCAUCCCUAAUGGGGCCACAUUGUUGUUAAAAGAUUCAGUUAGAUCUCAGUCUCCAUUGCUGACUGUAAUACAUCCUUUUGAAACCAUAACAGGGAAAAUUUGCUUCUUAACCAAUCCUUCCGCUCGAAACAGGAGAAUUAGGCAGCUCUUUCAGAAUGUGAUAGUUUCUGUCCCAUCCAUUGUGUCUUAUUGGAGCAACUAUUUUGCUGACGCCCCAUGGAAGAAAGUGUGGACCUUGUCACAUAAAUAUUUGAUCACCAAUAAUGUCAAGGAUGUGUCCUAUAAAUUCCUACACUGGUUUUACCCUGUUAAGCUUUAUUAAAAAAAAAAAUAUUUCUGGAAAUUUACUCCCUGUGUGCUUUCUGUGUUGCUGAAGAGGAGUCUGCCUUUCAUCUUUUCUGGGAGUGCACACAUACAGCAACUUUUUGGAAAGACUUUUGUAUCUUUAUACGGGUAUGUCUGUUAGAGAGUUUUUCCUGUAUCAUACAAAGAUGUCUUAUUUGGCUGUCAUAAUUUUGAUGUAGGUUUAAAAGAUAAGUUUUUUAUUUUUUAUUUUUAUUUUAUUUUUUAUUUUUUAACACACAAAUGUAAAUUUCAAUGUGUUGUGCCCUCUUUUGCUAUUUUUUGUAAGGAUUUAAAAUCCUAUUUGGUUACUCUUGCUACCUCCAGCAACUCUAAAGCCCUAAAAACCUUUUCUCUCUGUGAUUUUUAGAAUGUUUAUAUACUUUUACAAUAUGUUUUUGAAUGUUAAUGCAUGUAUACCCCUGGCAUUUUCGUUCUACUUUUUGCAAUAAUAAUAAAAAUAAAAAAAUACAAUAAUAAUAAAUAAAUCGUGGGCUCUUGGGAAAUCAGUGCUCUCCCUAGUGGCCAAACCUGAGAAGUUCAGGUUUAGAUGGCUCUGUUAGCUGGUUCUGAUGACAGACAGCUGCUCUACUAUCUCAAAUUACCGGAAAUGCUUGGAUUGGUACUCUAUGGCUAAAAAUAGAUGGUUGUAGUUCUCACAGUAGUUGAAAAAAAUGGGACCUAAUGCCUGAAACCACUAAGGUGGAACUGAAAACAGUCACUAUGACAGAUAAAAUGUGGGACAUUUUAUACUAGUUUAAUAAUGUCAAGAUUUAUUUUAAAGAAUAUAUAUUUUAAUGGAGGGUAAAAAAAAAUGUGCAAUUUAUUGGGUUUCAUGUUGUAUAUUAUAAAACUUAUAGUUGUGUGUAGAAUGGUGUGUAUGAGGAAAACAAGAACAAUGGGUUACAACC